rnacentral:rRNA from 1 species
UACGAAGGGGGCUAGCGUUGCUCGGAAUUACUGGGCGUAAAGGGAGCGUAGGCGGACAGUUUAGUCAGAGGUGAAAGCCCAGGGCUCAACCUUGGAAUUGCCUUUGAUACUGGCUGUCUUGAGUACGGGAGAGGUGUGUGGAACUCCGAGUGUAGAGGUGAAAUUCGUAGAUAUUCGGAAGAACACCAGUGGCGAAGGCGACACACUGGCCCGUUACUGACGCUGAGGCUCGAAAGCGUGGGGAGCAAACAGGAAUAGAUA